CUUUGUGGCUGGACCGAGGAGGAGGGAGCCCUCAGAAAACAACUUCCAACUUUGCUGGAAAGAGAAAGAGUAAAUAAUAAGAUAUUUAUUUUAAAAGAAUACAUACAUACAUACAUACAUACAUACAUACAUACAUACAUACUAGGAUAAUAGGAAAUGACAAGCUAAGCAGGAACUUUAGAAUGGCAAGUGGAACCAGCUGGCCUGAUAGUCUCUACCAAGGCCAGUGACUGCUCAGUGAUUAAAACCUGGGAAUAAAUACACCUCUCUAAUAUUAAAAGUAAUGCAUGGCUCAACAAAAAUACAUCUUCACACAUUAUACACAGCAUACGUGACACCAUUGCAGUGACACCAUCAAUCGGAGGACCUAGGUGGGCUUGUGGGAGAUCCAAACACCUACCAGCCUGAGUCCAGAGGUUCCCAGGAGGGCGGGGACCAGGGGGGGAAGUUGGAGUCGGGAGCGAGCGCAGAAGCACGUGGGCUGAGGGGGUGGGAGGACGCCGGGCGGUGGAGUAACCAGUGAAGUGUCAAAGAGGCAGGAGUGGAGGGCUGCGGGGGUGACAGGGUGUGGUCUGCCUGGAGCGGCGACGCGGGAGAGCGGGACAGAGGCCUGGGGCUGUGGAUGGUGCCUCCUUGUGCCGGGUGCGUUGACAGCGCGCAGCUGAGCGGCUACUAGGGUGUCCCGGGCUCGCCAAGUGCCCAGCUCCAAGCUGUGCCAGCGACCUCGCGGGGUCCCCGAAGCUGGACACCUACGAGUGAGAAACAAGAGGUGCUCAGCCUUCCCGGCAAGUGUUGUAAGAAGCAAAGACUAUCAGGAGUAAAAAGAAACUUGAAAACCAGAGUCCAUCCAAAGAUAUCAACAAAGGAAACUCCUAGAAUCAAAGGAGAGAAAGGCGGUGUGCAGCUGGAGGAACUCCAACCUGAGCAGAUGCCAGUUGACAUGGGAACUCUGAGACCAGCAAUUUAAGGAUUUUCACGUUUGCUUGCAGUGGUAAGAUUUAAAGAUAUAAUAACAAAACACAGAAAAUGUUACAGAGCUCUGGAUUUCUGUACUAGAU
ensembl:lncRNA